rnacentral:tRNA from 1 species
GCCGAUGUAGCUCAGCCGGUAGAGCAGCGCAUUCGUAACGCGCAGGUCAGGAGUUCGAGUCUCCUCAUCGGCUCCA